rnacentral:rRNA from 1 species
CAAUAAGCUACAUAAGAGCGUAUGGGGAAUGCCUAGGCUCUCAGAGGCGAUGAAGGACGUGAUAAGCUGCGAAAAGCUGCGGGGAUUGGCACAUACAAAUUGAUCCGCAGAUAUCCGAAUGGGGCAACCCAGCAUAUUGAAGAUAUGUUAUCCGAAAGGAGGCGAACCCGGAGAACUGAAACAUCUAAGUACCCGGAGGAGAAGAAAACAAAAGUGAUUCCGAUAGUAGCGGCGAGCGAACUCGGAUUAGCCCAAACCAGUGUUGUUACGGCAAUGCUGGGGUUGUAGGACCACGAUAUUUGAUGCGUAAUGAAUUAGAACACUUUGGAAAGAGUGACCAGAGAGGGUGAUAGUCCCGUAUAAGUAAAGAUCGUUAUUGAUAGUGGUAUCCUGAGUAGUGCGGGGCACGUGUAACCCUGUAUGAAUUUGGCGGGACCAUCCGUUAAGGCUAAAUACUCCUGAGAGACCGAUAGUGAACUAGUACCGUGAGGGAAAGGUGAAAAGAACCUUGAAUAAAGGAGUGAAAAAGAACCUGAAACCAUACGCUUACAAGCGGUCGGAGCCAGUAAUGGUGACGGCGUGCCUUUUGCAUAAUGAGCCUACGAGUUACCGUUGCUAGCAAGGUUAAGGACUUCAGGUCCGCAGCCGUAGCGAAAGCGAGUCUGAAUAGGGCGCUUUAGUUAGUAGUGGUAGACGCGAAACCGUGUGAUCUACCCAUGGGCAGGGUGAAGCUGUGGUAACACACAGUGGAGGCCCGAACCGGUUGACGUUGAAAAGUCUUCGGAUGACCUGUGGGUAGGGGUGAAAGGCCAAUCAAACUCGGAAAUAGCUCGUACUCCCCGAAAUGCAUUUAGGUGCAGCGUUGAUUAAUAGUUUUAUAGAGGUAGAGCUACUGAUUGGAUGCGGGGGCUUCACCGCCUACCAAUUCCUGACAAACUCCGAAUGCUAUAAAAUGUUCAUCAGCAGUGAGGGCAUGGGUGCUAAGGUCCAUGUCCGAGAGGGAAAGAACCCAGACCAUCAGCUAAGGUCCCCAAAUGUAUGUUAAGUUGAAUAAACGAGGUUGAACUGCUUAGACAGCUAGGAUGUUGGCUUGGAAGCAGCCAUUCAUUUAAAGAGUGCGUAACAGCUCACUAGUCGAGCGGUUCGGCAUGGAUAAUAAUCGGGCAUAAACAU